rnacentral:rRNA from 1 species
GUGGGGAAUCUUGCACAAUGGGCGAAAGCCUGAUGCAGCCAUGCCGCGUGAAUGAUGAAGGCCUUAGGGUUGUAAAAUUCUUUCGUCAGGGAUGAUAAUGACCGUACCUGAAGAAGAAGCUCCGGCUAACUUCGUGCCAGCAGCCGCGGUAAUACGAAGGGGGCUAGCGUUGCUCGGAAUUACUGGGCGUAAAGGGCGCGUAGGCGGACAGCUUAGUCAGAGGUGAAAGCCCAGGGCUCAACCUUGGAAUUGCCUUUGAUACUGGCUGUCUUGAGUUUGGGAGAGGUGAGUGGAACUCCGAGUGUAGAGGUGAAAUUCGUAGAUAUUCGGAAGAACACCAGUGGCGAAGGCGACUCACUGGCCCAAUACUGACGCUGAGGCGCGAAAGCGUGGGGAGCAAACAGGAUUAGAUACCCGUGUAGUCC